AGUGUGAACCUCACCGGCUCACUUGUCUCUCUCUCUCUCUCUCUCUCUCUCUCUCUCUCUCUCUCUCUCUUCAUCUUCUCUGCCCCAAUUUAUCGUGUGGAACUGACACAGAUCGCAGCGAGGCCUCACAACUGGAUCCAGUCCAAAAGAGCUCGUCGAGCACUGGUCCACUACUACCCUCUCGCCGGCUGCGUCGCUGCCGGAGCCACCGCCGGCGAAGUCAUCAUUAGAUGCGUCGGGAAGGGCGUGUCGUUCGUCAUGACCUCCAUCGUCGAGCUGAAAGAAGAGCUCCCCGUCUUCUACCCGGCGCCCCAUGCAUGGUUUCAGCCAGAUGGUGCCCUCGUGGGCAACCGUGGCGGCAUCGUAGAAGCUGCAAGGUCGUGGGGGCCGGCGAUCGGACGGAUCUGUUGUCGGCCCUGUGAGGCGGCCGCGCAGAAACGGCGACGGAUCAUCGGUGUGCUGAGUGCUGACCGCUGAGGCCUGAGGUAGGUAGUCAAUGAUGCCUUCACUUGCAUACUGUCUACUGAGAUACUGUACUACCAAACGGCAAAGUUCAGAAAUGGAGUUUCUCUGGAAAACGAAAAUGAAGAUGAUUCUCUCUUGAUUUUAUCAAGAAGAGUCGAUACUUUGUUGAAGACAUUGCCCGGAUAUGUUCGGACUAGUUUUUUAAGGUGAAACUUUGAUUCUGUUUUUUGGUUGUUGGAUCCGGUGACGACGACACUCGAGUGUCGCUUUCAUUCUAAAGGCGUCCUUGUUGAAGAAGCUCGUUGUUCUUGUGGUGUCAUGAGAUGGUUGAUGCGGAUAUGAUCAUUGUUGUAGUUUGUCGGAUUUGAUACUUCAGGGUUUUCUUUUUCCUCGCUUAGGCAUAGUUUUGGUCUUAUAUGAGUUUACUAUUUGCCGAUCCUUUUUUGUAUGGGUUGGCAUUGACUGUGUGCGUCCAACUAUGUAGAGGUUAAGUGUGUGCUCAUUGUUUCUGUGUCCAUUUGAUGCUUCAUUUGAGUAAAUUACAUCCACCCUUUAUAAAAAUCAAGUGAUUUUUUCUGGACGCACUAUUGAAAGAAUUUUUUUGGGUAAGUUCACUACCCCAACUUGGAGCGAACAACACAACCCAACUUUGUAGUUUGUCUUACCAAAUUCAUUCCCUGGCCGGAGAUGAAGAGGGUUGAGUUUAGAAGAACAAUGCAACAUACCGGUUUAUACCUCUUACCACUUUGAAUAAAAUGACAUGGUAGGACGAUUUGCAUGUCACAUGAUAUCUCAAUGUUUUGCAACAAUGGCAAGAGUCCACAAAUGCCAAGAUGAUAUAUAGUAGCAUCACCAAACUAUAAGUACUCUCCACCUAUGCAUCAGACCCGACUAUUUUUUAAAAGUUCCAGUGACUUGAUUAUUAACCAUCGGAUUGGGAUCCAAGCGUUGCGGGCCUUGUUCUUCCUCUAGAAGUCGCGCCCUAUGGCCCCGCCACAAGCAUCGGCGGAAUUGCCUGCCCCGCCACCCUCGUUCAAAAUGUGUUUAGUCUCUAAUGUUAAUUUGGUGUUGUUGAUAAUGUUGUUAGUGAGACUAAUAUCAAUUAGUAAGUUUAUCUCAGGAUCUUGGUCUCUUGAUGGGUUUAUAAGGAGAUGGUUUACCCCCACUUUAGAAAGGAAAAAAAGCGUUAGUUUUUCGAAGACUCAAAGGUUUCGUAUGACAAUUGAUGGGGAUCACACAAAACAUUCUAGUCAUACCCUUGAAAAAUUGGUUAAAACCAUUCUUCAUGUGAUAUGUGCUACAUACCUCAUGCACACGGGUCCAAGGGCCAUGCACAAGGUGUCCAGGGAAAUAUCUCUGGACACCCUGUACGCACGAGGUCGGGUCCGAAACUUUCUCGGCACCCCGUGUACUGCAUGAGGUCUAGGGUUUCGCUCUCUGGUGAUCCCGCGCGCACCGUGUCUUAAGGUUGUGCUCACCCCCACCCCGUGGUAACAAUCACUUUGGUGGUGGUAGUGGUGGUGGUGGUGGUGGGGGAGGGGGGGGUUAUAAAUACCUAGCCUUCUUCGACGUCCAACAACAACAACAAAAAAACCUUUGAUUUGAGCCGCUCCACCAUGGUCAAUACCACAAAAGCUCAAUUACUCUCAAUCCCUUUGCUAAAACUCCACCAAACUUUGUGGAUUGAAAGAUAAUCAGCCAAUUUAUAUUUCCACCAAACCAAUCUAUGAUCCCCACUCUUGUCCAUCACCAAUAGUUGCAACUAGCUCUUGCUUGUGGUGUGCUCUGCAAAAUUUGUAAAGGUCUGAUGGUGACCUCCAAGACCAACCACGAGUGGUUUGAGGUUCAUCCAUUAAGGGUGAUUCAAAGGAGAUUAGUGGGAGCUACUUGGUGGCAUUCCAGAGCUUUGACUCUGGUCACUUUUCAAUGUAGAUUAGCACUCCCCAAAAGGUAUUGAACUUGGGGAUACAUUUGCGUGUUUGACUUGUGUAGUUAAUCUUUUUCCUACCUUUACUUGUGUUUGCUAGCUAUUUUGUUGACAUUUCAUCCUAGUAUGUUAGCAUGCUUGCCAUAUAGGUUCUUCUCAUCUUAGGUUGCAUAUCAAGAGAACUUACUUUAUCCGAUUGCCCCUAAAAUUGUAAGUUAGCUAAAUUUUGUAGUCUCCUAUUCACCCUCCCUCUAGUUGACCUCACGAUCUAUUCAUGCGUCUAGUGACACUGCAACUUGCCCCUCGUCGCCAUAUAGAUUUUUAUUUUAUUGUUUCGUCUUUAACGUUAAUACCAAUACCACUAAUUCCACUAUUAUAUGGUUAUUCUUGCAAACUAUAACAAAGGGCAAUUUUUAUGUAAGUUGUGUGCAAAUUUUGCAAUAUUUGUUUUACUUUUUAUUUAAAUUUAUUUCCCUUUAGGGGUGAUAACAAUGCUACUAAUUCCACUAUUAUAUGUUUAUUCUUGCAUAUUAUAACAAAGUGGAUAUUUUGUGUAAAAUAUGUGCAAAUUAUGUCAUUAUUUGUUUUAGCUUUUAUUUCAUUUUCCGUAUUCUUUAAGGGUAAGACCAAUGCCACUAAUGCUCCUUCUUAGAUUUGUUUUCUUCAAAAGUUCCACUAUUAUAUGUGUAUUCUUGCCUAUUUAAUAGAAUCACAAAUUGCUUGCAAAAUUUGUCAUUAUUUGUUUUAGUUUUUGUUUUCAUUUUUCUUUCUUCUAAAAAGGUAAUAUAUAUGCAACUAAUUCAUUCUUCCUUGGAAAACAUUAUUAUUUUGAUUUUGUUUCAGUGGCAUUUGUCCUUUCGUUGGACCUGUAUAUUAUGUGAUUUUUUCUUUGUUUUUAAAGGGUAAUACGAA